CGGCGAGCUUCAUUGAAGGGGGAGCGCGGCGGGCGGCGAGGCGCUGGGAGUCGUGGGGAAGCUGAGGAUCAUGCCACGGAGGUCACAGGGCGCGAUGCCUGCAGCGACGCAGCCCCAGGAGAGCCCUGGGACUCCCUGCACAUUUUAGCCCCGCAGUGCGAGGUAUACGUGUGCGUGGGCCCGGCGGAGGGCACAGAGUGCUGGCACGAGAGCAGGCGAUAUCCCCCACUCAGCCCUGGAGCUGAGGGUGAGCACAGAGAAACUGGCACCGACCCCAGCGCCUGUGCUGAAGCCAACUCCACGCUUGCCAGGGUGAGAUGGGG
rnacentral:lncRNA from 1 species